CUGGGACUCCCCUGAUGGAGUAUAAGGCGGCAGCUAGACAUCCUUAUGUGGCUGGCAAAGGAGCAGAAUAUACACGGAAGCUACUGAAAAUCCAUGACUCCAGUCCUAUGAAUUUUGAGAAAAUUUGGAACACCUCACACGUUGGAAAAGCAUAAUGUAACAGGCAUGUAAAGACUCUGGUUUUUAGAAGUGCUCUUUACAGAGUCACAAUAAAUUGGUAAAUUUGCAG
rnacentral:lncRNA from 1 species